rnacentral:rRNA from 1 species
UACGUAGGGACCAAGCGUUGUUCGGAUUUACUGGGCGUAAAGGGCGCGUAGGCGGCGUGGUAAGUCACUUAUGAAAUCUCUGAGCUUAACUCAGAACGGCCAAGUGAUACUGCUGUGCUAGAGUGCAGAAGGGGCAAUCGGAAUUCUUGGUGUAGCGGUGAAAUGCGUAGAUAUCAAGAGGAACACCUGAGGUGAAGACGGGUUGCUGGGCUGACACUGACGCUGAGGCGCGAAAGCCAGGGGAGCAAACGGG